ACCCCAUGGUGAGGGCACUAUCUCAAUUGAUCCUUAUAACUCUCACAUGCAUCAUGUAAAGUCUUCAAAAUCGAUCUGCACAAAGGUAGAGAUGUCAUUCCUCAACUU
rfam:Gossypium hirsutum cultivar TM-1 chromosome 7, whole genome shotgun sequence